rnacentral:rRNA from 1 species
UACGAAGGGGGCUAGCGUUGCUCGGAAUCACUGGGCGUAAAGCGCACGUAGGCGGGUUGUUAAGUCGGGGGUGAAAUCCUGGAGCUCAACUCCAGAACUGCCUUUGAUACUGGCGACCUUGAGUCCGGGAGAGGUGAGUGGAACUGCGAGUGUAGAGGUGAAAUUCGUAGAUAUUCGCAAGAACACCAGUGGCGAAGGCAGGUCUCUGGGCCGCAACUGACGCUGAGGAGCGAAAGCAUGGGGGAGCGAACAGG